rnacentral:rRNA from 1 species
AAACCGUUGGAAGGGAAGCGAGUGGAGUCGGUUAUUCGCCUUGCCAGAUUCAACCGCUCUCGUGCUGCAACGUGUUCUCUCGCGACCUGAAUCCAGGCGCGGAUGGCGCGGGCGUGGCACGGGCGUGGUGCACUUCGGCGGGCGAGCGUCAACGUCAGUCAACUGCGAGUCACAAACCUGCAAGCACGGUACAUCGUUCGCGAUGGGUAAGGCUUGCGUGCGCACGACUCGCGCGAGACUGUAUUGUGUCGCAGCGUGUUCCCUCCCGUCCUGCGGGUGGGCUGCUGCCCAGUGUUGUUGAUCCGGUGAUCCGUUCCGGCGGACGGCCUUGCGCCUGUGCGUCGGCGGUGUCGCCGUUCAACUGACCUGAAACGCAGACACCACGCGCUCAGUACGUUGACAGCCCUGCGUCUCCAUCCGACCCGUCUUGAAACACGGACCAAGGAGUCUAACAUGUGCGCAAGUCUCAGGGUGAUCGAAACCCGUUGUGGGCGCAAUGAAGGUAAACGCGGUCUCGCGACUGCAGAGAUGAGAAGCGAGGAUAUCGCGCUGCAUCAUCGACCGACCUAUUCUACUCUUGGAAAGGUUUGAGUAAGAGCGUACCUGUUGGGACCCGAAAGAUGGUGAACUAUGCCUGAAUAGGGCGAAGCCAGCGG